rnacentral:rRNA from 1 species
UCGAUUAGCCAUGCUAGUUGCACGAGUUUAGACUCGUAGCAUAUAGCUCAGUAACACGUGGCCAAACUACCCUACAGACCGCAAUAACCUCGGGAAACUGAGGCCAAUAGCGGAUAUAACUCUCACGCUGGAGUGCCGAGAGUUAGAAACGUUCCGGCGCUGUAGGAUGUGGCUGCGGCCGAUUAGGUAGAUGGUGGGGUAACGGCCCACCAUGCCGAUAAUCGGUACAGGUUGUGAGAGCAAGAGCCUGGAGACGGUAUCUGAGACAAGAUACCGGGCCCUACGGGGCGCAGCAGGCGCGAAACCUUUACACUGCACGACAGUGCGAUAGGGGGACUCCGAGUGUGAGGGCAUAUAGCCCUCGCUUUUCUGUACCGUAAGGUGGUACAAGAAUAAGGACUGGGCAAGACCGGUGCCAGCCGCCGCGGUAAUACCGGCAGUCCAAGUGAUGGCCGAUAUUAUUGGGCCUAAAGCGUCCGUAGCUUGCUGUGUAAGUCCAUUGGGAAAUCGACCAGCUCAACUGGUCGACGUCCGGUGGAAACUACACAGCUUGGGGCCGAAAGACUCGACGGGUACGUCCGGGGUAGGAGUGAAAUCCUAUAAUCCUGGACGGACCACCAAUGGGGAAACCACGUUGAGAGACCGGACCCGACAGUGAGGGACGAAAGCCAGGGUCUCGAACCGGAUUAGAUACCCGGGUAGUCCUGGCCGUAACGAUGCUCGCUAGGUAUGUCACGCGCCAUGAGCACGUGAUGUGCCGUAAUGAAGACGAUAAGCGAGCCGCCUGGGGAAGUACGUCCGCAAGGAUGAAACUUAAAGGAAUUGGCGGGGGAGCACACAACCGGAGGAGGCUGCGGUUAUG